rnacentral:rRNA from 1 species
CGAGUUUGAUCCUGGCUCAGAGUGAACGCUGGCGGCAGGCCUAACACAUGCAAGUCGAGCGGCAGCGCGUCCGACCACCCUCGGGUGGUCGGAUGGCGGCGAGCGGCGGACGGGUGAGGAAUGCAUCGGAAUCUGCCUCGUUGUGGGGGAUAACGUAGGGAAACUUACGCUAAUACCGCAUACGACCUACGGGUGAAAGUGGGGGACCUUCGGGCCUCACGCGAUGAGAUGAGCCGAUGCCGGAUUAGCUAGUUGGCGGGGUAAAGGCCCACCAAGGCGACGAUCCGUAGCUGGUCUGAGAGGAUGAUCAGCCACACUGGAACUGAGACACGGUCCAGACUCCUACGGGAGGCAGCAGUGGGGAAUAUUGGACAAUGGGGGCAACCCUGAUCCAGCCAUGCCGCGUGUGUGAAGAAGGCCUUCGGGUUGUAAAGCACUUUUGUUGGGGAAGAAACCGGCCGGGUUAAUACCCUGGUUGAAUGACGGUACCCAAAGAAUAAGCACCGGCUAACUUCGUG